AUUGCCGAAGAUUGCCUUUCUCCUCUACAGUCUCCUCAACAAUAAAACCUCCUCUGCCAGUUCACACACCAUUUUAUUGCCUUACUUCUCUAAACCAAAAAUUUCAGCAAUACUCUCAAACGUCAUCACCAAUUUCUCAAUUUCGUUCUUGUUUUCUUUCUCCAGAGUUUGUUUUUUAUCAGAAAAAGACUACACUGCGCUAGCUAGCUAUGAAAAUGGAAUUCUCUGAAGCAGGCUAUGCCAUUGGCUCUGAUGAGUGGGACGAUAAUAUUCCUGAUAACUGGGACGAUAGUAUUCCUGAUAAAUGGGACAAUAAUAUUCUUGAUACCUUCAAGGUAUUUCCCUCAGCAACUAAACCUCAGAAAGGUGGAUUUCACUUGUUUGCAGAUUAUGACUUCACUGCCACUUAUCAGAUGGAAGAGGAGAAAUUUCCUGCACACAUCAUAAGGAAAGAGGACAUGAAGCUCAAAGAUGUGGUGAAGGAACAUGUGCUCCCUUUCCUUCCUGCUAAAUCGCUGAUGAAGUUUAGGGCUGUAUCCAAAGAAUGGGAUAAAUGGAUAGGUGGUCCCUUAUUGACCUACCAACAAAGUUUCUUAUGCCAGAGUCUUUCGGGCUACUUCUAUCAAGAUACGAAGAUGGGAUGGGAUCCUACAUUCAUAUCUCUGGACCAUUCUGCAAGUGGAGUUCCCAACCCAGCACUUCAUUUCUUGCCUGAAAAGGUCAAAAUCCUAAGCUCUUGCAACGGCUUGCUCCUUUGUCAGGGGUGGGAGAAGUAUUAUGUUUGCAAUCCUGCAACCCAAGACUGGAAAAUGCUCCCUCUUCCUCAGUAUUAUCAUGGAGCUGAACCAGCAGUUGUUCUUGCAUUUGAGCCUUCUCUUCGUAACAUUGAGGUGUAUUAUCAUGUUAUCUGCGCAUUUCCUUUGCUUGGGCAGCCAAUUAUUGGCUUUGAGAUUUAUUCUUCAGAAUCAAAUUCCUGGAAGUGCUCAUCUGCAUACUGUACUGAGUUAGAAAAUCCAAGUCUUGUUGGUGGGGGUUUGUAUAUGAAGGGGGUUGCGUACUAUGAGACGACAUCGAAUGAAGUACUGGCAUUUGCUGUAAAAGAUGAGCUUCCUGCAAUUAUAUCUUUACCUACUAUGCUUGUUGGGAGACAUGGAUCCUUGACACAGAUGGAAGGAGAGCUAUGCUACAUCACUGCUUAUAAUGAGACAGGAAAUGUUUUCUUAAUAGAUAUCUACCAAGGCAUGGAAAUGAGCUUGAAGCGCAGUGUUAGCGUCAAUCUUGGACCCAAUAGGAGUUACACUCAAGAAUGCGAGGUACUACCCUGUGUUAACAGUGAUGCUGUGGUGAUUUGUGUAGGCAGCUUCAUAUACUUGUAUCACCCCAGGGAGCAGAAAGUUGAACGUACUAUGACGAGUUCAGGCGCUAUUGGUUAUGGCAGAAAGUUCCUGCCCUACAUAAACAGCCUUGUUACCCUACACUGAGCUGAAGAAGUCUUAAUUCAUCACUAUGUUCAUGGCUUUUCGUUGCAGUAGAAAACCACUGCUUCAUCUUCUGGUUUGAAGCAUGUGAUCCAUGAAUUUACUGUUCUUUUAGAAUCUCUGUUUGAAUUCUGACUUGGAUGUAUACAAGUAGAAUGCACGGUGACGUUUUCGUUUUGGUAAAUAAUGGAUUUUGAGCAAAGACAUUUCAUAUAGACAAGGUGGGUUGCUCGCUCUGAUGGUAAGUAUCCUCCACUUUCAAUCAAGGGGUUGACCCCUAUAGCAAGAUAGGUAGUUCUUGGAGGGAAAGAUGCCGAGUGUAUAUUGGAAACAGCUUCUCUACCCCAGGAUAAGGGUAAGGUCUGCGUACACCGGCUAGCAUAAUUUAUGUAUAUAAUCAGUGGCUUUGCUGGUUUUUGUAAUGCCUGAGUUGGUAGGUAGAUAGUCUUUUGAAAUGUGCCAGAGGUAGAAAGGUGAACUCCAGCGUAAAUGUCCCUUGAAAUAUAUGUUGUUCUUGACCCUCUU